CUGGCCUCUAUGAGGCGCUGUCACUCAGGAAUCAGCAGCUGUCCUCGGCGCUCCGUCACACGACUGUACUGUGUGUGUCCGUCCGCGCACAGCAAAUAACAAUAUUUAUAUAGUUUUUGUUUAUUGUACUCGAUAAAUAUGUCUACUACGACCGGUGGCGGAGAGUUUGGCAACCCUCUGCGGAAAUUUAAGCUGGUUUUCUUGGGCGAGCAAAGCGUCGGCAAAACUUCACUUAUCACGAGGUUUAUGUAUGACAGCUUCGAUAAUACCUAUCAGGCAACUAUUGGGAUAGACUUUCUGUCAAAAACCAUGUACUUGGAAGACCGCACGAUUCGGCUACAGCUGUGGGACACAGCUGGGCAGGAGCGCUUCCGUAGCCUCAUUCCCAGUUACAUCAGAGACUCAGCAGCCGCAGUGGUGGUCUAUGAUAUAGCAAAUCUCAACUCUUUCCAGCAAACCUCAAAGUGGAUAGAUGAUGUCAGAACAGAGCGAGGAAGUGAUGUAAUUAUCAUGUUGGUUGGCAACAAGACAGACCUGGCUGAUAAAAGGCAAGUGUCUGUAGAGGCAGCAGAGAAAAAAGCUCGGGAACUGGGUGUGAUGUACAUAGAGACCAGCGCCAAAGCUGGUUAUAACGUCAAACAGACAGAUUACCACGGAGGGGGGCGAGCAGAGGGCUAAGGAACUGAAUGUCAUGUUCAUUGAAACCAGCGCAAAGACUGGCUACAAUGUCAAACAGCUGUUUCGUCGUGUUGCUGCUGCUUUGCCUGGAAUGGAUAGUACACCAGAGAAAAGCAAAGAGGACAUGAUCGACAUCAAACUGGAGAAGCCUCCGGAGCUGCCUGUUACCGAGAGCAGCUGCUCAUGCUAGUAACCCCCCCCCCUCCCGUCCCCUUCACACACGAACAGCUUGCCUCUCAGUGGUCACUCGUUCCUCUCACGGCCCCAUUCAUGAGCAGAGAACCUUUUCUUUCUUUUCGACCCUAAUGACUUUUCAGAGUAACCAUGUGGAUGUGCUAUUACUCUGUAUUAAAAUGGAUUCCAAAAAUACAUAUAUUAAUGGGAAAAAAGUCAAAUGACAGCAUAGAUUAAAUGCUAAAACCAUUCAGAUUCUCAUCUUUGGUGGCUGCAUGGCAUUAUAUGGGAUUGCAGACUGAUAUACACUCGUGUGCUCUUGAGUUUUCACACAUCAGAGCCGUCAUAAUCGUUGUGAAGUUACCAUGUUCCAGAGCCGGGGCUGAUGUCAUCGUUUUAAGUCUUUUAUAAUUUCUCUGGAGGAAAAGCUUGACAUUAUUGCAUUGAGAGGCUGUAGUCUUGUGUUACUGAUUCAUGCUGUUACUGGAUUUUUUUUUUACAUGAACAUUACACACUAUUUUGUUAGUGUUUUUUGGUUAUUUAAAGAAAGAUACAGAAGGAAUUUCUUUUGAAACUGUUGUGAAAUAUCUUGGACACAAUAUUCUGUAUAAUUGGUAUUUGGGACCAGAUAUCAUUUAAAGGUCUUUUUGUUUCAGGAAUUACACGUUUGGCCAAAAAAUGUUUUUUUGUGUGUGUUUUUUUGUUGUUGACAAGCAUCAUUCUGGACAGGCCAAUUUUAUACAGGAAUUUUCGGAGGGUUGCAUGGAUGUAGAAUGAGCUAUGGGGGAAAAAUAGGAUUUAAUGUUCUGAGAAAAGGGAAAUUGCUUUGUAAACAUAUUUAAUUUCGUGGAAACUCAAAACCUAAGAUAUUGAAUGACUUCUCCACGACUGUAGUUACAAAACCUAACGUUAAUUGUAAAAACGUGUGUGUACUAACAAAACUAUCGUAACGCAUCACUCUGAGCUUAGAUAUGGAAAGCAGUUCACACUAAUUCCACUCCUUUUCUGUCUUGUUUUUGCUGCGCAAGUGUAGAAACAGCAUGCAGUUUAGAGACGGUCUAACACAAAAUGCCUUGCUUGUUUUGUUGUCAUAGUGCACCAGUUCGGGCCACAGCGCUGUGGUUUGCGUGAGCCUAUUAACAUUGCAUAGAGCUAAUGAGGUUUUGUUAAAUGGGAUAUUUAUAUUUCUUCCUUCAACACGGCUAUUGCUUAGUGUACAGACACGUCUUGGUAUUGCUCGUCGUAAGACUGGUGGUUUCAUGUGUUUAUUUAUUAUCUCACUAGUUUGUGAAACAGUGUGUCGUAUGCUUGACUUUAAUGGCAGUUCGCAGUGUGUGGGAAUCAAAGGUUGAUGUAAAAUUUGCAUUGCUGCCUUGCUACUGUAUCACAAAGACCUAGUCUUGGUCACAUUAAAGACUGUCAUGCUCCAUCUGUAAUGCUGGGUUUCAACAGUUUAACUCAAAUGGGCUUUUAUUUCCCAGAGAGGUAUCAGCGAACCCCCCAGCACAGUCACUUUUCCUCUCAUACAACUGUAAAACGACAGAUCCUGUCAUCACGAAGACUAAAAAAAGGGCAAUUAAGUGUGUUUGAAACAUUAACAUUUAAUAUGGUUUGAUAUAAAGCGUGAAAACCCCCCUGAACAGCUCUAUCACUUGUCACCGACUGAAUACUCAGCUGUGUGCUAUUCUGAAGUGUGCUGGUCUGUUUGAAAUACGCUGUCUACUAGUGUUUAGCAAAGUUUGUGUGAACAAAAUACUAUUAUUAUAUGCUGUAAAAAAAAAAUGGAAGGUCAAGGAGACACCAAAAUGUAUCACAUGAAUAAAGAUAUUUCACCAAA